GACGAACGCUGGCGGCGUGCUUAACACAUGCAAGUCGAGCGGUGCGGCCAACUGGCGAGUAACGCGUGAGUAACUGCCCCCCUCUCCGGGAUAACGGUUGGAAACGGCUGCUAAUACCUGAUAUUGGGGGAUGACUGGCGUCCGAUCAGCUUGUUUGUGGGGUAGUGGCCUACCACCGCGACGCCGGAUAGCCGGCCUGAGAGGGCGACCGGACACCUUGGGCUGGGAUAGGGACCAGACGCCUACGGGGGGCAGCGGUGGGGAAUAUUGCACAAUGGGGCAAACCCUGAGGCAGCAACGCGCGUGCGGGAUGACGGCCUUCGGGUUGGAAACCGCUUUCAGCCAUGACGCGGUAGUGGCAGAAGAAGCACCGGCUAACUACGUGCCAGCAGCCGCGGUAAUAC
rnacentral:rRNA from 1 species